rnacentral:rRNA from 1 species
CAACCGAGCGCAACCCUUGUCCAUUAGUUGUCAGCGAGUCAUGUCGGAUACUCUAAUGGGACUGCCGGUGACGAGCCGGAGGAAGGUGGGGAUGACGUCAAGUCAGCAUGGCCUUUAUGUCCAGGGCCACACACGUGCUACAAUGGACGGUACAGAGGGACGCAAGACCGCAAGGUGGAGCAAAUCCUCAAAACCGUUCUCAGUUCGGAUUGCAGGCUGCAAUUCGCCUGCAUGAAGCUGGAAUUGCUAGUAAUCGCAGAUCAGCUACGCUGCGGUGAAUACGUUCUCGGGCCUU